GAUGAACGCUGACAGAAUGCUUAACACAUGCAAGUCUACUUGAAUUUGGGUUUUUAACUUAGGUUUGGGUGGCGGACGGGUGAGUAACGCGUAAAGAACUUGCCUCACAGCUAGGGACAACAUUUGGAAACGAAUGCUAAUACCUAAUAUUAUGAUAAUAGGGCAUCCUAUAAUUAUGAAAGCUAUAAGCGCUGUGAGAGAGCUUUGCGUCCCAUUAGCUAGUUGGAGAGGUAACGGCUCACCAAGGCGAUGAUGGGUAGCCGGCCUGAGAGGGUGAUCGGCCACAAGGGGACUGAGACACGGCCCUUACUCCUACGGGAGGCAGCAGUGGGGAAUAUUGGACAAUGGACCAGGAGUCUGAUCCAGCAAUUCUGUGUGCACGAUGAAGUUUUUCGGAAUGUAAAGUGCUUUCAGUUGGGAAGAAAGAAAUGACGGUACCAACAGGAGAAGUGACGGCUAAAUACGUGCCAGCAGCCGCGGUAAUACGUAUGUCACGAGCGUUAUCCGGAUUUAUUGGGCGUAAAGCGCGUCUAGGUGGUUAUGUAAGUCUGAUGUGAAAAUGCAGGGCUCAACUCUGUAUUGCGUUGGAAACUGUAUAACUAGAGUACUGGAGAGGUAAGCGGAACUACAAGUGUAGAGGUGAAAUUCGUAGAUAUUUGUAGGAAUGCCGAUGGGGAAGCCAGCUUACUGGACAGAUACUGACGCUGAAGCGCGAAAGCGUGGGUAGCAAACAGG
rnacentral:rRNA from 1 species